UACGAAGGGGGCUAGCGUUACUCGGAAUUACUGGGCGUAAAGCGUGCGUAGGUGGUUCGUUAAGUCUGAUGUGAAAGCCCUGGGCUCAACCUGGGAAUGGCAUUGGAAACUGGCGACCUAGAGUGCGGUAGAGGGUAGUGGAAUUCCCGGUGUAGCAGUGAAAUGCGUAGAGAUCGGGAGGAACAUCUGUGGCGAAGGCGACUGCCUGGACCAGCACUGACACUGAGGCACGAAAGCGUGGGGAUCAAACAGG
rnacentral:rRNA from 1 species